rnacentral:rRNA from 1 species
UACGGAGGGUGCAAGCGUUAUCCGGAUUCACUGGGUUUAAAGGGUGCGUAGGUGGGCAGGUAAGUCAGUGGUGAAAUCCUGUAGCUUAACUACAGAACUGCCAUUGAUACUAUUUGUCUUGAAUACCCUGGAGGUGAGCGGAAUAAUGUCAUGUAGCGGUGAAAUGCUUAGAUAUGACAUAGAACAUCUAUUGCGAAGGCAGCUCACUACGGGAAUAUUGACGCUGAGGCACGAAAGCGUGGGGAUCAAACAGG